UACAGAGGUCCCAAGCGUUGUUCGGAUUCACUGGGCGUAAAGGGUGCGUAGGCGGUCGGGUAAGUCUGAUGUGAAAUCUCACAGCUUAACUGUGAAACUGCAUUGGAUACUAUCCGGCUAGAGGAAUGGAGGGGAGACUGGAAUACUUGGUGUAGCAGUGAAAUGCGUAGAUAUCAAGUGGAACACCAGUGGCGAAGGCGAGUCUCUGGACAUUUCCUGACGCUGAGGCACGAAAGCCAGGGGAGCAUACGGG
rnacentral:rRNA from 1 species